rnacentral:rRNA from 1 species
UAGAGUUUGAUCCUGGCUCAGAACGUACGCUGGCGGCACGCCUAAUACAUGCAAGUCGAACGAAGUAGCAAUACUUAGUGGCAGACGGGUGAGUAACAUAUGGGUAUCUUCCCUUUGGUGAGGAAUAACACGAGGAAACUUGUGCUAAUACCUCAUAAGUCUUUACGGAGAAAGCUUUAUGCGCCAAUGGAUGAGCCCGCACUUGAUUAGUUUGUUGGUGAGGUAAUGGCUCACCAAGACUUUGAUCAAUAGCUGAUUUGAGAGGAUGAUCAGCCACAUUGGGACUGAGACACGGCCCAAACUCCUACGGGAGGCAGCAGUAGGGAAUCUUGCACAAUGGGGGAAACCCUGAUGCAGCGAUGCCGCGUGAGUGAAGAAGGCCUUUGGGUUGUAAAGCUCUUUCGUCGGGGAAGAAAAUGACUGUACCCGAAUAAGAAGGUCCGGCUAACUUCGUGCCAGCAGCCGCGGUAAUACGAAGGGACCUAGCGUAGUUCGGAAUUACUGGGCUUAAAGAGUUCGUAGGUUGUUAAAAAAGUUGGUGGUGAAAUCCCAGAGCUUAACUCUGGAACUGCCAUCAAAACUUUUUAGCUAGAGUUUGAUAGAGGAAAGCAGAAUUUCUAGUGUAGAGGUGAAAUUCGUAGAUAUUAGAAAGAAUACCAAUUGCGAAGGCAGCUUUCUGGAUCAUUACUGACACUGAGGAACGAAAGCAUGGGUAGCGAAGAGGAUUAGAUACCCUCGUAGUCCAUGCCGUAAACGAUGUGUGUUAGACGUUGGAAAUUUAUUUUCAGUGUCGCAGCGAAAGCAAUAAACACACCGCCUGGGGAGUACGACCGCAAGGUUAAAACUCAAAUGAAUUGACGGGGACCCGCACAAGUAGUGGAGCAUGUGGUUUAAUUCGAAGAUACGCGCAGAACCUUACCAACACUUGACAUGUUCGUCGCGACUUUAAGAGAUUAAAGUUUUCGGUUCGGCCGGACGAAACACAGGUGCUGCAUGGCUGUCGUCAGCUCGUGUCGUGAGAUGUUGGGUUAAGUCCCGCAACGAGCGCAACCCUCACUUUUAGUUGCCAUCAUUUAGUUGGGCACUCUGAAAGAACUGCCAGUGAUAAGCUGGAGGAAGGUGGGGAUGACGUCAAGUCCUCAUGGCCCUUACGUGUUGGGCUACACACGUGCUACAAUGGCAUCUACAACAGGAAGCAAAACGGCGACGUUAAGCAAAUCCUAAAAAAAUGCCUCAGUUCGGAUUGUACUCUGCAACUCGAGUACAUGAAGCUGGAAUUACUAGUAAUCGCGGAUCAGCGCGCCGCGGUGAAUACGUUCCCGGGUCUUGUACACACCGCCCGUCACACCAUGGGAGUUGGUUCUACCUUAAGGCAAAGGUUAAAAACUUUGACCACGGUAUAGUCAGCGACUGGGGUGAAGUCGUAACAAGGUAACCA